UGGCUUAGCGGGGUUCCAUAAUGCCC
rnacentral:piRNA from 1 species